rnacentral:rRNA from 1 species
AUUGAACGCUGGCGGAAUGCUUUACACAUGCAAGUCGAGCGGUAGCGCGGGGCAACCUGGCGGCGAGCGGCGAACGGGUGAGUAAUGUAUCGGAACGUGCCCUGUCGUGGGGAUAGCCCGGUGAAAACCUGAUUAAUACCGCAUACGACCGAGGGACGAACGUGGGGGACCGCAAUGCCUCCCGCGAUCGGAGCGGCCGAUAUCUGAUUAGCUAGUUGGUGGGGUAAAGGCCCACCAAGGCUUCGAUCAGUAGCUGGUCUGAGAGGAUGAUCAGCCACACUGGGACUGAGACACGGCCCAGACUCCUACGGGAGGCAGCAGUGGGGAAUUUUGGACAAUGGGGGCAACCCUGAUCCAGCCAUUCCGCGUGAGUGAAGAAGGCCUUCGGGUUGUAAAGCUCUUUUGUCCGGGAAGAAACGUUUUUGGCUAAUAACCAAGACUACUGACGGUACCGGAAGAAUAAGGACCGGCUAACUACGUGCCAGCAGCCGCCGUAA